AACCCUUGUCCUUAGUUACCAGCACGUUAUGGUGGGCACUCUAAGGAGACUGCCGGUGACAAACCGGAGGAAGUGGGGAUGACGUCAAGUCAUCAUGGCCCUUACGGCCAGGGCUACACACGUGCUACAAUGGUCGGUACAGAGGGUUGCCAAGCCGCGAGUGGAGCUAAUCCCAUAAAACCGAUCGUAGUCCGGAUUGGAGUCUGCAACUCGACUCCAUGAAGUCGGAAUCGCUAGUAAUCGUGGAUCAGAAUGCCACGGUGAAUACCGGUUCCCGGGCCUU
rnacentral:rRNA from 1 species